rnacentral:tRNA from 1 species
GCCAGCGUAGCUCAGUGGUAGAGCACUCGAUUCGUAAUCGAGCGGUCGUCAGUUCAAUCCUGACCGCUGGCU